rnacentral:rRNA from 1 species
UCCUCCCUCUUUCUUCGUGCUUAACACAUGCAAGUCGAACGGAAAGGCCCUGCUUUUGUGGGGUGCUCGAGUGGCGAACGGGUGAGUAACACGUGAGUAACCUGCCCUUGACUUUGGGAUAACUUCAGGAAACUGGGGCUAAUACCGGAUAGGAGCUCCUGCUGCAUGGUGGGGGUUGGAAAGUUUCGGCGGUUGGGGAUGGACUAGCGGCUUAUCAGCUUGUUGGUGGGGUAGUGGCUUACCAAGGCUUUGACGGGUAGCCGGCCUGAGAGGGUGACCGGCCACAUUGGGACUGAGAUACGGCCCAGACUCCUACGGGAGGCAGCAGUGGGGAAUAUUGCACAAUGGGCGGAAGCCUGAUGCAGCAACGCCGCGUGCGGGAUGACGGCCUUCGGGUUGUAAACCGCUUUCGCCUGUGACGAAGCGUGAGUGACGGUAAUGGGUAAAGAAGCACCGGCUAACUACGUG